rnacentral:lncRNA from 1 species
CACUGAGGUAGAUCUCGUUUUACUUGAAAUCAGAUGCAGGUGAACCUCACCUUAGUUUCAAAAUAAGUCUUCUGCAGUCUCAUUAGUAUGGACAGACAGAGGAGAUGAAGGACAGCCCCUUUCCCUCUUGCUCCAGUUUCCCCAGCUUUUCACCAUUGCUGCUGUUGGCUGUUGGCUCCUGCUCCGUGUGGGUGAAGGGGACAGACGUCCCAGCCAAGUGCACAUACAUCAUUCACACUGCUUCCAAAACACAAGGAUGGUUAAAGCUGUGGAAGGUUGUGUGAAACCUCAGAGUAUCCUGAGCAUGAUGGAGCAGGGGAGAAGUGUCUUGGACAUUUCAAGCCAGCUCAGAAACAUGCUCAGCAACAUCAGCAAAUAGUAUGAAUGCAACAAGGAGCAAAUCCAGAUUGAGUCCUGACUACAGCUGAGCCAAAGCCAAUCUGACACCAGUGCAGCCGAAGUCAGCAUCUGUCCCUAAGCUGCUUGUAACAUACCAUGACAUUUGCUAACACAGGAGUCACAAGUGCAUAAUUAUCAACUUUACACAUUUAAUAGCCUUAAAGCUAAUACUCUGGCACAAGAAACCAUUACAUGACUGAUUUCACAGCUCUCGGUUUUGCAGGAAGAAUUUCCUUCUCACCUGUGACCAGUUAAGUAAUUGCACUGCCAAUUAAAUAUCUGGAAGUGCUUUGUUGCACAGUCAAAGGCUGGCCUGCUCUGCUACUCCAGACUACACAGACCAAGCACAGGGACACACACACACACACAUGUGGCAAGAUGCAGCUUGCGACUUAAUUAAUUCCCACAAUUAAUGAAUUCUUCCAAACUCAGUUACCUGACUUCAGGCUACUCAAGGAGAAGUCCACAUACUACUUGGUAAAGCCCUCAAGGUUGACCUGGUGACUUCCCUGUCCUGUCACUGGCCCCCUAGUUCAAGAGAAUGAUCUUCUUGCUGUGUUGUUAUUGAACACCUGAUUAUUUUCUCUCAGCAUGUAAUCUUGCAUCUUUACAGCUUAAAAAAUACCCUAAAGUUAGGAGCCAGCCUUGCUGAAGCACUGCUUGCAGCUUGCACACUCUAUUUAGGAUGGCUGUGAAAAGUCAAACUGCAAAUCCAGAGCACCGUCACUGCACAAACAAUCUGAGUUCUGCUCAGAGAUUUUGUGUUAUCUGCACCUCCCCAAGGUUUUUCUCCCCACAGAAAUGCAACCCCAAAGUACAAAAGACAGCCCAGGCUGAGCCAUGCCAUGGGAGCUGAGGUUCAAACCAGGCUUGGUGCAGCCUGGAGAAUCAUGCUGGUCUCUCUGGUGGUGGCUCAAAAGCCUGGCACCAGGAGCCUUGAAGACUGAGGUCCAUGCACGCUGCCAGGGGGCCAAACCUCAUGGAAGGCAGCCAGCAAACUGCUGGCACUGCUGACAUUUGAGAAACCACAGCAACCAGAUUUGCUAGAGCUUACUCAUUGGCCCCUCUUACACUGCAAUUUGUUUGCUGUCAACCUGACAAUUAAAUAGAUGCCUUGAUUUGUGUUUUGUCCCAGGGCUCUGCUGGCACUUUGGAGGUUAGAUAACAGCAGUUGCCCCAGUCUGUCCACUGUGCUCCUGCAGGGUCAGAUCCCCAGCACUGGUAAGGGUCAUCAUUAGCCAGCUCCUAAAGCAAAUGCAUUUUCAGGAUCCCAGCACAAAACCCUGCAGGAAUUGCGAGCACCUUCUCAUAUUUGUUUCUGAUAAUAGCUCCACUUUGAAGUGUUGCCAGGGAAUUAUUGGAAAUCCAGGGGUAAGAGAAGUUAUGCAAGAGCAGAACCGGUGCAUACACAGCUAGGAGAGGAGAUUGUCCUCAGCCUCUUGAGGUGGACACUAAAUUGCACCCAGAAAUCCUCCAUUAAUUACUGAACAAACCUAGCUAAAAUGAUUGCAAAAACAGCAGAAGAAGCUUUCUCAUAAGAUGAACAGAGAAGAUUUAUUUUUCCUGAUUCUGGUAGAGCAAAGAUACUGCACUGUUCACAGAACCCCUCUACACUGAUCAGGUCAAAGUAAGGCAUGGAGGUACAGUCCCACCACACCAGCAUGAUGAGCUUUGCAAUAACACAGCAUUUAAAAACAAGCACCUGGGAGAAAUGCUGACAGGCAUGGAGGGGACUGGACUCAAAACAGAAAGAGAAUAAAAGACUUGCUUUCAAGUUCAAGUUUUUACUGACUGGAUGAACCUCUUGACACAAGGAGAGAAUGAUUUAUAUAUAAAGUGAUAUGAGAAUAACAACCAGUCUCAUUAAAGAUAAAUUUUCCUGUGCAAUUUCCUGUAAUUUGGAAAAAAAUAGUGUUGAAGACACUCCUGGGGUGCUCAGUCUCACCUCUGCCCUAAGAAACAUUCUGCUGCACCAUGAGCAUUUGACUUCCAGCUCCUUCCUGUGCAGACAUGGAAUGCUCAUGCCUACUCACUGCCAUGCAUCACUGUAAGUGGCAUCUGUUGGAUGCUUUUAAGCUGUGAAUUACUGAAAGGAAAUGUACAACCCACAUCUCAAGCCUAGGGAGCAGAUGACAGACUCAAACCUCUUUGAUACAGUCAUUACCCUUACUAAAGUGAAUGUAAUAAGUCUUCCUGCAAUCCUUACAGGACAGAUAGACACGAUAGUCAUGACGCUAAAAAGUACUGCACAAGAAACCUUCAAAAUUAGCAGCACAGGAAGACUGGGAGGGAGGUUUAUUUUUUCAGCUGCAUUCAGGAAGGCCUCUGCAGGACAUAGCUAAAUCACCCUGGCUUUUCACCCUUUCGCCUUGAUUGCAACUGUUUGGAAGAUAAACACUAGCCUAUCUUUAGCAUUGGCAUCUCCCAUGUUAUUCGCUCUGAAAUGGAACAGAAAAAUGUCAACAAAGAACAGUUGAAGAGAAACUCAUUUAUUCAGCCUAACCACUGGAAUAUGACAUUUUCCUCAAACAUGCUACAGCAGAUUUUCAAAUCCUCUUUGUAGAUGUGUUAACAUCUACAUCUGUCUCUUGAAACAGAAAAGAACACAGCUAUUCUCGCCCUUCCAGGAAGUGAGUAUCCAAUGCCCUGCUGCUGGCUGGUGCAGCACAGCCUCCUGUGCCUCCUGCACGGUGGCAGCACAGCUGCACGCUGAAGGAGGGAUGGCAACAGCAAAGGUAAAGGGCCUGCUAGCAGCCCCAGCUGCAAAACAAAAAUUAGGAGUGAGGACAAGCGUCAUGUGCUCACAGCCUCUUGAAGCUACCCUACACUUUGUGUACCACAGGGAUUUCCACCAGACCUGAAAGCAAAGGGAAACUGAAAAGUAGCCUAAAAGCUGCGGUACUGGAAGGACAC